UUACUACUUCCUUCGUCUCAAAAUUCUUGUCUUAGAUUUAUCUAGAUAUGAAUGUACGUAGUCACGUUUUAGUAUUUAGAUACAUCUAUUUUUAAUAAACAAACUUAAGACAAGAAAUUUGGGACCGAGGUAGUACCAC
rnacentral:pre_miRNA from 2 species